AGUGAACGCUGGCGGUAGGCCUAACACAUGCAAGUCGAACGGCAGCACAGUAAGAGCUUGCUCUUACGGGUGGCGAGUGGCGGACGGGUGAGGAAUACAUCGGAAUCUACUUUUUCGUGGGGGGUAACGUAGGGAAACUUACGCUAAUACCGCAUACGACCUACGGGUGAAAGCAGGGGAUCUUCGGACCUUGCGCGAUUGAAUGAGCCGAUGUCGGAUUAGCUAGUUGGCGGGGUAAAGGCCCACCAAGGCGACGAUCCGUAGCUGGUCUGAGAGGAUGAUCAGCCAAACUGGAACUGAGACACGGUCCAGACUCCUACGGGAGGCAGCAGUGGGGAAUAUUGGACAAUGGGCGAAAGCCUGAUCCAGCCAUACCGCGUGGGUGAAGAAGGCCUUCGGGUUGUAAAGCCCUUUUGUUGGGAAAGAAAAGCAGCAGGUUAAUACCCCGCUGUUCUGACGGUACCCAAAGAAUAAGCACCGGCUAACUUCGUG
rnacentral:rRNA from 1 species